UUAAAAGCAUUGAUGGGAACCCGUACGAAACGUCGACGAUUAAGCGAGCCGGUGGUUGGUGCAAGACCGGUAUCAAGACCUUCAAGCAAAUCAUCCCAGAGCGUGGUACUGAAGCGAGUAAGGACCACCGGUUCAUGACCGUUACCAAAUGACAAAGCAAAAGGAGCAGUCCUUUUGAAAUUUGGGUGGUACCACGAGUGCGUCUCGUCCCUUUG
rnacentral:ncRNA from 2 species